rnacentral:lncRNA from 1 species
ACUUGCUUUUAACAGGCUGUUUAAUUAAAGUCGAUCCAUCACUAGCCCAGGAUUAAUAUACUACUCCCUCCGAUCCAUAAUAAGUGUUUCGGAUUUAGUACAACUUUGUACUAAGUUGGUACCCCCGCUUAAUUCCGUGCCGGGUAGAGCGCGUAAUGAGCUGGGCACGGCGUGCCGGCGGUUUUUCGGAAAAGCCCAGCCCAUUGGCCAACUAUAAUGUGAGGGGAAAGGGGGGAGUAUAAUGUAAGCAAAAUAUUAUAAAAUAAUAUAUUUAUAAUUAACAACUAUACAUACGUAGGUUUUAGAUAACAUGUAUAGCCAUGGGCGGAGACAAAAAAAAAGAUUAAGGUCGCCGUACUAGAAAGCAUAAAAAAUGAUGCAAAAAUAAAAAUAUUCCAUAGACAUUAAUAAUUUAUAUGAUCCUAAACAUAAUUAUUUUGUAAGAUCAAAAUAAAAAUAUAUUUAAAUGGGAAUGUAACCUCUGAUCAGUGAAAACUUAAAUUUUUUUUUAAUCUUAGCCACUAGAUCUUAAAUAAAUGGAUGAGAUGAAAGACAUAAGCGCAUUUUAUGAAAAAAAACAAAACCCCAUUCCUGCCAUAAUUAGGACCAUCCUGCCACCGCUAGAGGAAAAAACGGUUUGUUUAUGUUUCUUUUCCCGAUUCCUUCGUGCCUGGUCCUAGGUCCCACGAUCCUAUCUAACAGGCCGCGCAACAAAUCCCACAUCCCACCCGAACUCAAGCCUAAUCCUCUCCACACAACCGGC